UAAAUCCUGCGAUGUUCGUUAUCGGCUGUUCGUUGUUUUGAACCAAUGACAAUGUCUUGGGAGACCAAUUACGGAUCGUGGCUGAAAGGCCCUGUCUAUAUGACAUGGGGACUUCAAAAGCGUAUUCUGCGGUCACCCACCUGCUGGUGCAGGUUCAGAAGACACUUCAGCCGGACGGCAUAGGCGGGUUUCCC
rnacentral:other from 1 species